rnacentral:lncRNA from 1 species
CGCGCGCUGUCCCCCGGAGGCGUCUGGGUGUGCGGAGCGCGCGCGCGCGGCUCGGAGGCGCACCUGUGAGGUGUCCCUUGAGGAGAGGGAGGGUGGGUGCGCGGAGCCCGCGGCCUGGGGCGCUUCAACCCCUCACUUGGAAGCGCCCCGCGUCCCAGCAGAGUCCGCCGAGCAUCCUACUCAGGUGAUGAGGAACCCUUCGCGCCCCGAGCGCAGAACGCCGCUGCCGCUGGACGCCUCCAUUGUUUGACCACAACAAGGGCCGGAUUCUCACCCAGGAGGAGCUUGCUCUGUACUCGUCCAGUGGCUGGUUUGUUGACUGGUUGUCUUACUGCAACAAAGACUAGGU